GGAGAAAUGGCAGAGUGGUCGAAUGCGGCGGUCUUGAAAACCGUUGUCCCGAGGAAUCGGGACCGGGGGUUCGAAUCCCUCUUUCUCCGCCA
rnacentral:tRNA from 1 species